rnacentral:rRNA from 1 species
GACGAACGCUGGCGGCGUGCUUAACACAUGCAAGUCGAACGAAGUGGCGCACGGGUGAGUAACGCGUAAUCAACCUGCCCUUCAGAGGGGGACAACAGUUGGAAACGACUGCUAAUACCGCAUACUGAAGGAGGGGAUUGCGUCGGAUUAGCUAGUUGGCGGGGUAACGGCCCACCAAGGCGAUGAUCAGUAGCCGGUCUGAGAGGGUGCACGAGCACAAUGGGACUGAGACACGGGCCAGAAUCCCACGGGAGGCAGCAGGGGGGAAACGUCCGCAAUGGACGAAAGGCUGACGGAGCAACGCCGCGUGAGUGAGGACGGCCUUCGGGGUGUAAAGCUCUGUUAAGCGGGACGCGGUACCGGAAGAGAAAGCCACGGCUAACUACGUGCCAGCAGCCGCGGUAAUAC